rnacentral:lncRNA from 1 species
UGAAAUUCGCAACUAUCUCCACCUUAUCCAUCCGUUUCAAACCUGACAACAUCAACAAGAACGAUUUCUGUGAUUUGGUUCAGAAGACCAGAUCCCCUGCUCAAUGAGCACUCCAACGCCGCUCCUCCUCCUUCGCCUAUCUAUCCUCCAAAGCCACGAAGCUCUCGAUUCCAACAGAUACACCCUCUGUAGUUGCUCAUUUGACAAAUCGUCCACCGGCUCUUGCCACGUUGUCGCCACUGCCGCCAUUCCCGGUUGUCCACACGCGGUCGAGUCACUGGUCUCCGCUUACAUGUGCUACCUCCACAACUCGAUGUAUUCUCUUCCGCCGACUACCUCUCCGACGACGAAGAAAACACUCUUUUUAUGUCUCCAAGACGGAUCAUUUUGUCUACGAUUUUGCCACAGCCCAACG